CUUCUACAAUGGGCGAAAGCCUGAUGGAGCAACGCCGCGUGAGUGAAGAAGGUGUUCNNNUCGUANACCUCUGCUGUAAGGGANGGCNAAGUACAGUAGUAACUGGCUGUACCUUGAUGGUACCUUAUUCGAAAUCCACGGCUACCUACGUGCCAGCAGCCGCGGUAAUACGUAGGUGGCAAGCGUUGUCCGGAAUUAUUGGGCGUAAAGCGCGCGCAGGCGGUCCUUUAAGUCUGAUGUGAAAGCCCACGGCUCAACCGUGGAGGGUCAUUGGAAACUGGGGGACUUGAGUGCAGAAGAGGAAAGUGGAAUUCCAAGUGUAGCGGUGAAAUGCGUAGAGAUUUGGAGGAACACCAGUGGCGAAGGCGACUUUCUGGUCUGUAACUGACGCUGAGGCGCGAAAGCGUGGGGAGCAAACA
rnacentral:rRNA from 1 species